rnacentral:misc_RNA from 1 species
AAGUCGUAACAAGGUUUCCGUAGGUGAACCUGCGGAAGGAUCAUUUCCGAACAAAACUUUAAUACCGACCCACCGUGUGCAAUGUUUUGGGUUUCCCUUUACUCCCUAUAGGCGAUAUACAGAUGUGUAUGUAUUGAUUGGGGAGACCUAUGAUAUAUAUAUCAUCAUCAUACUAUCCUUAUGGGGAGGCCUUUAUGAACUACCUUGAUUUAAAGGUUGAUGUAACCAUUUACUUAUACCAAAUGAAAAAUAAAGUAAUGAUACGACAACUUUUAACGGUGGAUCUCUUGGCUCGU